UACGAAGGGUGCAAGCGUUAAUCGGAAUUACUGGGCGUAAAGCGCACGUAGGCGGUUGGUUAAGUUGGAUGUGAAAGCCCCGGGCUCAACCUGGGAAUUGCAUUCAAAACUGGCCAACUAGAGUAUGUGAGAGGGGGGUAGAAUUCCAAGUGUAGCGGUGAAAUGCGUAGAGAUUUGGAGGAAUACCAGUGGCGAAGGCGGCCCCCUGGCACAACACUGACGCUCAGGUGCGAGAGCGUGGGGAGCAAACAGG
rnacentral:rRNA from 1 species